GAUGAACGCUGGCGGCGUGCUUAACACAUGCAAGUCGAGCGAAGCAGUUUUAAGGAAGUUUUCGGACGGAAUUAAAACUGACUUAGCGGCGGACGGGUGAGUAACGCGUGGGUAACCUGCCUCAUACAGGGGGAUAACAGUUAGAAAUGACUGCUAAUACCGCAUAAGCGCACAGUGCUGCAUAGCACAGUGUGAAAAACUCCGGUGGUAUGAGAUGGACCCGCGUCUGAUUAGGUAGUUGGUGAGGUAAUGGCUCACCAAGGCGACGAUCAGUAGCCGACCUGAGAGGGAUACCGGCCACAUUGAGACUGAUACACGGCCCAAAAUCCUACGGGAUGCAGCAGUGGGGAAUAUUGUACCAUGGGGGAAACCCUGAUGCGGCGACGCCGCGCGAGUUAAGAAGUGUUUCGGCAUGUAAAGCUCUUUCAGCAGGGAAGAAACUGACGGUACCUGACUAAGAAGCCCCGGCUAACUACGUGCCAGCCGCCGCAGUAA
rnacentral:rRNA from 1 species